AUGUUCCUCAACCUUGGUGUCAUGCUCGUCUCCGUGCUCUUACUUUGUCACGGAACCUGCUCGGGCUCGGGAGCUGCAUCUCCGGACACCCUGAACGAUGGCCGGCGCAACAUCACCGACGGCCAGACGCUCGUCUCGGCCGGUGGUUCCUUUACGCUGGGAUUCUUCUCACCGGGCGAGCCCAGCCGGAGGUACGUCGGGAUAUGGUUCUCCGCGUCCACGGACGCCGUGGUCUGGGUGGCCAACCGCGACAGCCCGCUCAACGACACCUCCGGCGUGCUGGCGAUCGACGGCGCCGGCGGCCUUCUCCUGCUAGACAGAUCCCGCCGGACCGCCUGGUCCUCUUCGAACAAGACGACGACCGGCGGCACCACUUCUUCUUCGUCGUCGGUUGAGGCGCGGCUGCUCGAGUCCGGUAACCUAGUGGUGGUGGUGCGCGACGACGACGAAGAAGGAAGCGGCGCCGUGCUGUGGCAGUCGUUCGACCACCCGUCCAACACCCUGAUCGCCGGGAUGCGGCUGGGCAGGAACCCGCAGACGGGCGCCAACUGGUCCCUCAGGUCUUGGCGCUCCCCGGAAGACCCGGCGACGGGGGACUGCCGGCGCGCUAUGGACACGAGGGGGCUGCCGGACUGUGUGUCGUGGCGCGGCGACGUCAAGAAGUACCGCACGGGGCCGUGGAACGGGCUGUGGUUCAGCGGCGUCCCGGAGAUGGCGUCCUACUCGGACAUGUUCACGAACCAGGUGGUGGUGCGGCCCGACGAGGUGGCCUACGUGUUCAACGCGACGGCGGCGGCGCCCUUCUCGCGGCUGGUGCUGAGCGAGGCCGGCGUGAUCCAGCGGCUGGCGUGGGACAGCGGCAGCCGGGUGUGGAACGUGUUCGCGCAGGCGCCGCGGGACGUGUGCGACGAAUACGCCAAGUGCGGCGCCUUCGGGCUGUGCAACAUCAACACGGCGUCCACGCUCUUCUGCGGGUGCGUGGAGGGGUACGUGCCCGUGUCCCCCGCGCACUGGUCCAUGAGGGAGGCCGUCGCCGGCUGCCGGAGGAACGCGCCCCUGCAGUGCCGCGACGGCGGCGCCACCACGGACGGCUUCGCGAUGGUGCCGGGCGUGAAGCUCCCUGACACUGAGAACGCGACGGUGGACGUCAGCGCGACGUUGGAGGGGUGCAGGGCGAGGUGUCUGGCCAACUGCUCGUGCGUGGCCUACGCCGCCGCGGACAUCAGAGGAGGCGGCGGAGGCAGUGGCUGCGUCAUCUGGGCCGGUGACAUCGUCGACGUCCGGUACGUCGACAAAGGCCAGGAUCUCUACGUGAGGCUGGCAAAAUCUGAACUAGCAGCUAAUAAGAAGAGGGGAAGGAGCAUGUUAAAGAUUUUGCUCCCAGUCACGGCAUGUCUGCUUGUACUGGUGUGUGUAUUCCUUGUUUGGGUAUGCAAGUUCAGAGGCAACCGUCCAAAUAAGGAUAACCAGGCAAAGUCGGUUCUAGGAGGCGCAUCAAACCAACUAAUUGGUGAUGAAAAUAUCGAGCUUCCAUUGGUUAGCUUCAGAGACAUUGUUACCGCCACAAACGAUUUCUCGAAUGAGAACAUGCUUGGACAAGGAGGCUUUGGGAAGGUUUAUAAGGGAGUGCUGGAAGAUGACAAAGAAGUUGCUAUCAAAAGGCUCAGUAAGAGUUCUGGACAAGGAGCAGAGGAAUUCAGAAAUGAAGUUGUCCUAAUUGCCAAAUUGCAGCAUAGGAACCUUGUCAGGCUCCUUGGCUAUUGCAUUCAUGAAGAUGAGAGGCUGCUGAUUUAUGAAUACUUACCUAACAAAAGCUUGGAUGUCUUCAUUUUUGACGCUGCAAGUAAGUAUGUUCUUGAUUGGCCAACAAGGUCUCAAAUAAUCAAAGGAGUAGCGAGAGGGCUUCUUUAUCUCCACCAAGAUUCAAGGUUGACUAUAAUUCAUAGAGAUCUUAAAUCAAGCAACAUCUUGUUAGAUGUGGAUAUGAGCCCAAAGAUAUCUGAUUUUGGUAUGGCGAGAAUCUUUGGUCGUGACCAGCAAGAAGCAAACACUAACCGAGUUGUUGGGACAUAUGGUUACAUGUCUCCUGAAUAUGCGAUGGAUGGUGCCUUUUCUGUGAAGUCCGAUACAUAUAGCUUUGGUGUUCUACUCUUGGAGAUCAUAAGUGGUCUGAAGAUUAGCUUACCUCACCUCUCAGAUUUUCCAAACCUCUUAGCUUAUGCAUGGAACCUAUGGAAUGAUGGGAAGCCAAUGGAUAUGGUGGACUCCUCCAUUGCUGAUAAUUGUUCACCAACUGAAGUUCUACGGUGUAUUCAUAUAGGGCUCUUAUGUGUGCAAGACAAUCCAUACAAUAGGCCACUCAUGUCAUCGGUUGUGUUCAUGUUAGAGAACGAAACCACGACACUGUCAACCCCAAGGCAACCUGUGUAUUUUGCACAUAGGAACUCUGAAGCUAAAGAAACAGGAGAAAACACCAGCAGCUCAAUGAAUAACAUGAGUGUCACAAUGUUGGAAGGGCGUUAG
rnacentral:rRNA from 1 species